UUAUAACUAUCUUAAAUGGAAUGUCUUGUGUUUUUUACAGCUAAAUUUUACAGACAUCCUCCUACCGUCUCCAAGGUAACAAAGUUGAUCCAACGUGAGGGGUGGACAGCAAACUACCCACAGCCUGAAGAUAUUGUGGGCAAGUGGAAGCCGGCACCAAAAUGUCAACUGAAGGAGGACCCGAGGAUUUUAAAGAGGGUUGUGGAUCAGAAAUGGUCUGGGAUCGCUAUAAAAGAUUUUGAGGACAAACGAGGACAAGGAGUUGUUGCCACCAGACGAUUCGUGAGAGGAUCUGUCAUCUGCGAUUAUCACUGAGAGAUCAUUCCUGCAAAGCAAGGGAAGAAAAUGAUGCAGAACAUUACAGGUCAGGGACGGCCGCUCGGCGCGGGAGGAUCCCCUCCGUGGGAACUCCCCGCCGGUUGGCUGGCCCCCGCCGGGCGCAUUUCCUCCGCCGGUGGUGCGCCGCGACCGACUCUGGAUCGGCCAGGAAGGGCUCGGGGCGAAGGUGGCUCGCGGCUCCGGCCGCGAGCUUUACAGCGACCCAACGCCUGGACCUCGCCGCUUUCCGGGGUCGUGGAAUCAGUACUCACUGCGCCUUCUCUCCUCCGCCUCGCGCCUCCGUCCCCCUCCUCGUGGGGGGGGCGGGGGACUGGGCGGCCCACGGGAGGGACGGGGCCCCCUCGCCCCCGGCGCGACUGUCGACCGGAGCGGACUGUUCUCAGUGCGCUCCGACCGCGUCGCGCCGCCCGGGCGGGGACCGGCUCACGUACACAGGGCGCAAGGGGUCUGCGGCGAUGUCGGCUACCCACCCGACCCGUCUUGAAACACGGACCAAGGAGUCUAACGCACGCGCGAGUCAGAGGGUCCUACUCGAAACCCCGUGGCGCAAUGAAAGUGAAGGCCGGCGCGCGCCGGCCGAGGUGGGAUCCCGGGCCCCUCGCGGUUCCCGGGCGCACCACCGGCCCGUCUCGCCCGCUCCGUCGGGGAGGUGGAGCUAGAGCGCGUGCGAUAGGACCCGAAAGAUGGUGAACUAUGCCUGGGCAGGGCGAAGCCAGAGGAAACUCUGGUGGAGGCCCGUAGCGGUCCUGACGUGCAAAUCGGUCGUCCGACCUGGGUAUAGGGGCGAAAGACUAAUCGAACCAUCUAGUAGCUGGUUCCUUCCGAAGUAUCCCUCAGGACAGCUGGCGCUCAGAGUCUCGCAGUUUUAUCUGGUAAAGCGAAUGAUUAGAGGUCUUGGGGCCGAAACGAUCUCAACCUAUUCUCAAACUUUAAAUGGGUAAGAAGCCCGGCUCGCUGGCAUGGAGCCGGGCGUGGAAUGCGAGCCGCCCAGUGGGCCACUUUUGGUAAGCAGAACUGGCGCUGCGGGAUGAACCGAACGCCGGGUUAAGGCGCCCGAUGCCGACGCUCAUCAGACCCCAGAAAAGGUGUUGGUUGAUAUAGACAGCAGGACGGUGGCCAUGGAAGUCGGAAUCCGCUAAGGAGUGUGUAACAACUCACCUGCCGAAUCAACUAGCCCUGAAAAUGGAUG
rnacentral:lncRNA from 1 species